UCCCUGUUGGAGGAAUGUAUGUCCCUUCUGAAGAAGCUUCAUGCUCUGUUGAAGAGGACGACUUUUUUCCAAAAUAAUGGAGGACACAUCUUCAGCCAAGGGUAUAAAAGUAGCUGAGCUCCCAUGCUAGAACUUCUAACAGUCACUUUAGUUCCAAAUUACACUAUCAAUUUGUUCUUACGUUACUUCAAUGUUUUCUUUUGCAUUCUUGUUCUAUGGAUGCGCGUGAAAAGUACCACAGUUUGUGCAUGUGAGUACUGUUUCCUU
rnacentral:snRNA from 1 species